UCAUGUUGGGUACCAAGGCCUGUAGUCCCAGAAUGACUAUUGCCUAGACAAUAUCGGGGCACCAUUGACUCAUGACCUGUUUGGUGAAAAAAGUUAUUAGGGCAGGCUGGGAGAGCCUUGUCUUUGUGUUUGAGUGUACAUUCGUAAGGAUAAGGCCCAGACCAUGCUAGGUUGAGAGGCUGCAGUACCCUGAGGAAAACCUGAAUCUUCCAGAGAAGCAGCAUCCAUCUGCCCCUCCUCAACCUCCACGAUGUCCACAUGCCUCCUGAGAACUGAAGCUCUCUGGCGAAGUUGCAUCCCAUGUUAAAGAUCCUCUGUUGAAGCCAAGCAUGCACAGAGGGACACAGAGUAAAUUAUUAACUUGAGUAGAAACAGGAAUGAGAAUAGAACUUGGGGAACUCACACAGGCCUGGCCAGUACCCAUCCUCAGCUAUGGCUCCAGGUACCUCCUGCCUAUAAUUUCUGUUUUGAGACUGGGUCUUGCUAAGUUGCCUGGGCUUUAACUCACAGGCUCUGUAGCCAAAGCCAGACUUGAACUUGCUCUCCUACUGCCUCAGCCCUUUGAGCAGCUGGGAUUACAGGGAUGUGCUAACA